UUCAUAAUGAAGACGGCGUCUGUUUAGUGAAGGUCCAGAUCCAUCAGCAUGAAGGGAAAUCAUGGUUCUCCAGAUCUUGAAGGACCACAACGUCCCAUCAUGCCCUCCACACUGGCAUUGGGCUGGGAUUCGGUUAGGUUGUGGUCCGAUGUGGGGCGGAAAUGUGGGAUGCACAUCUUCAUAAUGAAGAUGGCACCCGUUUAGAGAAGGUCCAGGUCCAUCACCAUGAAGGGAAACUAUGGUUCUCCAGAUCUUGGAGGACCACAACGUCCAUCACACCUCUACACUUUCAACCGGUGCAAGUUAAGAGUCCAAAACAACCACGGCAACGCUGGAGAAUCAUAGUUUCCAUGAGCUCUGUUGUGAAUCAACACGUGCUCUUCCGCCUUCUGUAUCUCCAACAUCUCUCUACGCUUCUCCAGAAUUGCUCGUUCAUCAUUUCCUGGCAGGAAGUUGACUUGGCGCCCGAUUUGGGGCCUUUCGAGACAUCUCGCCGACCCCCCGAGUACCGUUUCUUAGGAAAACAAGACUUUUAUUUCUUUAUAUUAAAGAGAAAAGGAGGGCAGAGGACGGGAUUCGUACAUGCCGUUGUGCAUUUUGGGGUGAAAGGAACUCUCCCUGGUAUUUCACCCCCGGCCGGUAGUGUUUCCUACGGAAAACAAUCCGCUCUUGCUUUAUAUUAAAGAGACAAGGAUUUCCCAGUGAGGGACUCUAGUGCUUCGAUGUUGUGCAUUUUUGUUUUGAAUGGUGUUGUGUUUCGUUGAAAUCGCAAGCGUUUCCUCACUUCGGAGGAGAGUUGUUGCCAUCCGCGACGGGUGGCUGACAAUUGGUUGUGUUUCUCCUGCUGCAAGGAUUGUCGUGCCGUGCGCAUACUGUGUAUGCUUUUUUAAUGUUUUAUGUUGGAAAAGGACAAAAUAAAGACAAAAAUUGCAUUGUGCCGUUUUCUCAACUUGUUCACUUUUCCUGGCAACGGGUGAAACUAUGCUCUGUCCACAUGAAAUCGUGGAAUCAAAGCAUUGGAAGGAGACCACAAAGGCCAUUCAGUCCAACCCUCUGCCUAUUGUUAGGAUUUGUGUUCGGGAAAACUCCCAAAAACAGAAAAGCAUCCAAAAUAUGCAAAAACAGAGCAUUCAGCUCACAACAAGGAGAGCGUGAAGUGUCAUGUGGCUGUAAAGAAUGCAGAGCUUAGGAGAGAAAGAUCCAGAAUUCAAAGGAUUUUCUGUUAGAGAAAACUCCCCCAAACGCAGCAGAGAAUCCAAAAAUACAAAAACACAAUACUUUUAGUUGAGCAUUCAGCUCACAACAAGCAGAGCAUGAAGUGUCAUGUGGCUGAAAAGAAUGUAGAGCUUAGGAGGGAAAGAUCCAGAAUUCAAAGUAUAAGGAUUUUCUUUCAGAGAAAACUCCCCCAAACACAGCAGAGAAUCCAAAAAAUACAAAACAGGAUACUUUUAGUUGAGCAUUCAGCUCACAACAAGCAGAGUGUGAAGUGCCAUGUGGCUGUAAAGAAUUUAGAGCCUAGGAGGGAAAGAUCCAGAAGGAUUUUCUGUUAGAGAAAACUCCCUCAAACACAGCAGAGAAUCCAAAAAUACAUAAACAGGAUAUUUUAGUUGAGCAUUCAGCUCACAACAAGCAGAGUGUGAAGUGCUAUGUGGCUGAAAAGAAUGUAGAGCUUAGGCAAGAAAAGAUGCAGAGUUCUGUCUUUAAAAUUACAAAAUUACAAAAAUAAUAAUGGCAUUUCUUAAUAGUAAAGAACUGGGUCUGAGCUACUCUCUAGUUUCAAAGAGAGGGAAAAAUCUCCUGCGAGACGCCGGUUGCGGAAACCGAGUGUCGACUUCUUCCGUGACGGCUUCAGAAAACUGGUUCGUCAUUGGCAGAAAUGUAUCCGAUGGUCUGGUGACGAUGUGGAAAAUGAAUCGUGGUAGUUGAAGAGCUCAUCUAAGGAUUAUUUCUGCGUUUGAUUUAUUAAAAUAUUCCUUAAAUAUUUUAAUAAAUAUUUUAAUAAAUAUUUUAAUAAAUAUUUUAAUAAAUAUUUUAAUAAAUAUUCCUUAAAAUAUUUAUUAAAAUAUUGCUUUUCAUUCGACCCUCGUAGUUAGGAAUACGGGCUCACCAAAAAUAUCACGCCGGC
rnacentral:lncRNA from 11 species